rnacentral:rRNA from 1 species
GUAAUGUAUGGGGAUCUGCCUGAUGGCGGGGGAUAACUACUGGAAACGGUAGCUAAUACCGCAUAAUGUCGCAAGACCAAAGAGGGGGACCUUCGGGCCUCUUGCCAUCGGAUGUGCCCAGAUGGGAUUAGCUAGUAGGUGGGGUAACGGCUCACCUAGGCGGCGAUCCCUAGCUGGUCUGAGAGGAUGACCAGCCACACUGGAACUGAGACACGGUCCAG